ensembl:lncRNA
AGCCUGACUGCUAUGUUCAAAUUACAUUUGUUCAAAGCAGUCGUUUAAUUGCACUAUAGGCUCUUUUUUUGUAUCGUCCUGUUUUGAUCAGUGUAUAUGCCAAUGUUGUUAUCAAUAAAAAAUAAUUCGCACAAGGCAAGCCGAUGCACUUCACCAUGUUGAUAAGAUAAUUAAAAUGAGAAGAAUUAUGGGACAAAAAAUCAAGGGAUAUUUAGCAUAGAAAAAUAAUUUGCGAUUAAUCGCGAUUAAUUAGAGUUAACUAUGACAUUAAUGCGAUUAUUCACGAUUAAAUAUUUUAAUCGCUUGACAGCUCUAAUUAUUACACUAAUGUCCAUGUUGCAAUGUAUUUUGAAUGUUGUAUCUCCCUUGUGAGUCGCUUUGGAUAAAAGCGUCUGUUGAAUGACUAAGGCCCAAUCCCAUUUCUACCCCUUACCCCCUUACCCUUACCCCUCCCCCUUGUUUUGAAGGGGUAAGGGGGAGGGGGAAGGGGAGGGGGUAAGGGGUAGAAAUGGGAUUGGGCCUUAAUGUAAAUGCAAGUUGUUUUAACAUUCUUUUUUUUCGUUUUCAUUAAUACCUUUUUCUUGCCAGGGUGGAGAUGUAAUGCUCUGCACACGCAAAUGUACAUGCUAGAGGGGUUGUCCAGAUGGAACAUCAAUCGGGCCCAGCAGGCUCUGAAUAUGAGUGUCACGUCACAAACUCGAAUUUAUGAUGUUCGUCUGAUGUCCAGUGUGAACGCCCUCAGCAACAGAGUCCUGGGAAGUGCACUUCUUCAAGAGUUUACACCCCCGGGUAAACCUACCGGUAAGAUUCUCAUGGCAACAAAAGAACAGAUGCUGAACAAUAUUCUAUUAAUGCCAAACUGCCAGAUCAUGAUGGUUACACUCACUCUUUCUACUUCAAUCUUAUUUUUCCUCGUGACUACUUAUGGCAGGUGAGCUUAUUGCGGUGGAGUAUUUGCUGGCCCAGUCCAACAGAGGAGAUCUGCUGAGUGCGCCUGACGCAAUUGGCGCCAACCUGCCAGAGGGGCCGGAGGAAGUUCAGGAGGAUGAGUUUCCUGAUGAGACAAUACCUCAGGCCACUGAUAUUCUUUUCCCGUCUUCUUCUCCGGAACCUACGGCUGAAAGUGAAGGUGCAUCUCGGAGUCCUGUCAGCUCCCCAUUUGAGGACAGUGGGCCUAUCACUUCAACUCCGGUAAAGUAGCUAAUGUCUGACCAUUAGAAAUGCUUAUUCCUUCAGUGUUUCUCUUAAUUUAGCUAUACAAACUGUUUUUGUUUUCAUUUCAUUUGACAGGAUAGUCGGUGUGAUCCCAGAGGCAUUCCCGGAUGGGAGGCAGUCGAUGCCUUGGCAGGGUACCUUGUCAGCCUCAACCGGACGAUAACUGCUCUUUCGAACCAAGAAAUAGCAGAUAUACUGAGGUUGUACUCCAGCCUGGAUGGAAUCGACAAGUCGGAAACGCAGUGGCUCUGCUCCAGGCCAACAAGCAGCCGAGAGGUACCUGCAAACAAUCAGCUUCAAGUAUAUGUGUGUAGCUGUGUGCAGAGGUGGGUAGGAACGCGCUACAUUUACUCCGUUACAAAUACUUGAGUAACUUUUUGGAUGAAUUGUAAUUUUAGGAGUAGUUUUAUUGCAACAUACUUUUACUUUUACUUGAGUAAAUAUUUGAAGAAAGAACGGUACUUUUACGCCGUUCCAUUUGGCUACGUGACGGUCGUUACUUUGUUUUUUUAGAUCUUUUCUUUUAUUACAUGCGAGAUCUAUUUCUAUCACGUGAAUAUUCCUUAGCCCAAGUGAAGGAGUUCAAGUACCUCGGGGUCUUGUUCGCGAGUGAGGGUACUAUGGAGCGUGAGAUUGGCCGGGAAUCGGAGCAGCGGGGGCGGUAUUGCGUUCGCUUUACCGCACCGUUGUUACGAAAAGAGAGCUGAGUCGCAAGGCAAAGCUCUCGAUCUACCGGUCGAUCUUUGUUCCUAUCCUCACCUAUGGUCAUGAGGGUUGGGUGAUGGCCGAAAGGACGAGAUCGCGGGUACAAGCGGCCGAGAGGCAAUUGAAUAACGCCUGCACACACACAGGCACGCACGCACGCACAACGCAGAGUGGUAAUCGGGAGAGUUGAGAAAAUUCCCUGUGGCCUGUUAACGUUUCGGGGGGCGCCGGGUCAACGUCGCAACCAAUUCGGUUUUGUCUAGAGGGGAGUAACUGAGCGCCCCCUCCCGAAGUGGCACAGCCCAGGUCGGCCUUGAACUGCGAUUGGUCAGAAAGACGUUACAGCUAAUGACAACAUUGAACUCUCAUGCAGGCUCGAACAGAGUGACACACACACACACACACACACACACACACACACACACACACACACACACACACACACACACACACACACACACACACACACACACACACACACACACACACACACACACACACACACACACACACACAGUUUUUCACCCACUCCGUAUCCAGCUUAUUCCAUGCUUAAAGCACCCAGGCUACUAUGCGGCGAGCUGGGGCUCUCAUGUUCUCUUUAUUUUUAAAGACCUUAUUUAUUUUAUUUAAAAGGAGAAUGUUAUUUACAUUAUCUUUAUUUGAACAUUGCUGUUUUAUAUUUUGUUGGCGUCUAUUUUGUACCGUUUGUGUUGCUCUGUUUAUUUAAAAAAGAAAUCGGAGAACUCAGUACUUUUCACGUAGUCUUUUCACUGCAUACUUUUUUACUCUUACUUGAGUAAUUAUUUUUACUUGUACUUUUACUUCUACUUGAGUAAUUAUAAUCUUAAAGUAACAGUACUUUUACUUGAGUACAUUUUUAAGCUACUCUGCCCACCACUGGCUGUGUGUUCAUGUGUAAUUAACUGCAUACACAUACACUUUAAUGGUGUGUGUAUGUAUACAUUUAAUAUACUUGUAAUAUAUGUGUGUAAAAGUGUGUUUGUACAUUUGUAUGUAACAUACAGGGGUAUAUAUAUAUUUAUAUACACACACACACACACACACACACACACACACACACACACACACACACACACACACACACACACACACACACACACACACACACACACACACACACACAUAUAUUGUGUGUUUACAGUACACACACAAUGUUGGUUAUAUCAUCUUGUCUUUUCGCAGAUUGUUCAUGGUUCAUGGCCAGGCUGCCCAUAGACCCGAUUACACCAGGGUCUCUGAGUGUGUUGCACUGAAGCUUUUCAAGGAGUUCAAGGAAGACAGAAAUAGACCAAACGACCCUAAGGGGAGGACAUUUCCAAUUCCUCAGGCUAUUGUUAUGACGUAUGGUCAUAUUAAACAAUUAAUUGAGGAUUGCCAACAAAUCCUGCAAAGCACCAACCUGGUACUGGUGACCAUAAAUAAUACAACAGUCUCUUCUUGGUGAGUUCAUUUUUACUGCUUCAUAUAUUCCCUUCAAAAGGACUUAUAAAUUCAUAGGCACAUGCAUUCAAAACGUAUAAUGACCAAAAACAAUGUGAAAAACUCUGAUCCCCCCCCACAAAUAGGCUGCAGGAUCGGCAGAAGAGGGCUGACCGCGAUUCUCUGCUUCAAGGGGUGGAGCUUCCUCAGCAGGUCCACGUGGCCGAGGAAUCCCUCCUGGAGGCCCUGGACCUACCAUCUGAGCCUGUUCCACAUGGGCAUGCAGAUCUGGAGUUCGAGGAACCUGACAACCGUGAGGGUGAGGCGGUGAUUCGGCGACGCCGACGCAAAACUCAGGUUUCCAGCGAAGACGCUGGAGGAGAUGAUGCUUGGACUGUUCCUUUCCCCUCUUCAUCUGACCUAGCCUAUUGUGAGCAGCGUCAACACCCAGCUCCUGUGUCUCAAUCACAGAGCUGGUACCCAUACCAACCACCUUCAGCUCCAGCGUCUCAAUCUCGUGGCUGGUCCCCAUACCAGCUGCCUCCAACACCGGAGUCUCAGUAUCAGGCCUGGGCCUCUUACCAACGGCCUCCAGCCUCUCACUCUCAGGGCUGGUCGGGGCCCUCAUACCAGCCGCCGCCACCACCACCAGCAGCCCACUUUCAGAGCUGGUCCUCAAACCUGCCGCCACCACCACCUCCAGCAGCUCACUCUCAGGGCUCUUACCAGCUGCCACCAGUGCCAGAUUCUCCACCUCAGGACGGACCUUCUAACCAGCCAGAUCCAGCGUCUCACAAUCGCUACCGGGAAUGGAGGUUACAAAAGGCAGCCUUUGAGGAUCAGGAGCGAGCGAUGAGGGGUGAGCCCCCGAAGAAGCGUCAAAGUAAGGAAAGCUACCACUACCAAUGCAAAAUGUGUGGUAAGGCAAAAAGCAAACUUACUGGCCACACACAGCUACGGGGGAAAUGGUACUGUCCAGCAUCUGGAAAGACCAUUGAAGAGUGGAAAAGCUCCUUGUAAAAAUCAGUCCCUUUUGCCCCAUCUUUGGCCGAGUGGUUAAGGCGUUGGACUCGAAAUCCAAUGGGGUUUCCCCGCGCAGGUUCGAU